UCUCCGUAGGUGAACCUGCGGAGGGAUCAUUACAAGUGACCCCGGUCUUACCACCGGGAUGUUCAUAACCCUUUGUUGUCCGUCUCUGUUGCCUCCGGGGCGACCCUGCCUUCGGGCGGGGGCUCCGGGUGGACACUUAAAACUCUUGCGUAACUUUGCAGUCUGAGUAAACUUAAUUAAUAAAUUAAAACUUUUAACAACGGAUCUCUUGGUUCUG
rnacentral:misc_RNA from 1 species